GGUCGGUUCUCAGGUGACGCACCCCUGAACUGGGCUUCCUCUCUCUAAUUCCAGGUGCGUCACCCGAGAACCACA
rfam:Myotis brandtii contig251673, whole genome shotgun sequence.